GGGGAUGCAUUGCAUCGACAAGAAAGCACGUUAAAAACUGCAAGCCGACUUUGAUUAACAGUCGUAAAACAGAAUCAAAAUAUAAAUGCUAGAAGCAAUUCUAGAUUUCAACCAAAUUACGCAUUUGCUUAAUUAAGUUGAUGUUCGUAAUUUCUUUCUCAACGAGAUCUUACGGGCAUAAAUAAAGUUGAGAUAUAAAUAAGAGAUUGGUUUGUCUCUUAUUUGAACUUAUCAAACCUAUUCUUUAUUUAUUCCUGCCAAUAGGAAAAGAAUAAAGAGAGAAAUAAAAAUUGGCUAUGCUUGUAGAUGUUUUUAAUUUAAUUUCUUGGACUCCGAGUCACUCUCGGACAUCUCCACAA
rnacentral:tmRNA from 1 species